rnacentral:lncRNA from 1 species
UUGUCGGGGUGAUUUCCAUGGUUCCAAAUCGGAACACCAUUUUCUCGUUGUCCCAAUAACCCGUGAGUACUUCAAUAAGCUCGGGCCACCCAACCAUGUUAAUGAGUUCUGUUAAGGCCCCUACAUAUUUGUUGAGAUCCCUUUUGUGAAAUGCAAUGAGGUCGUAGUACCACAUUUUGAGCAAAACUGGAGCUUCCACUACCAUGUCGAAUUUAGGAAAUCG